rnacentral:rRNA from 1 species
AUUGAACGCUGGCGGAAUGCUUUACACAUGCAAGUCGAACGGUAGAGGGGGCAACCCCUCGAGAGUGGCGAACGGGUGAGUAAUAUAUCGGAACGUGCCCAGUCGUGGGGGAUAACGUAGCGAAAGUUACGCUAAUACCGCAUACGAUCUAAGGAUGAAAGCGGGGGAUCGCAAGACCUCGCGCGAUUGGAGCGGCCGAUAUCAGAUUAGGUAGUUGGUGGGGUAAAGGCUCACCAAGCCAACGAUCUGUAGCUGGUCUGAGAGGACGACCAGCCACACUGGAACUGAGACACGGUCCAGACUCCUACGGGAGGCAGCAGUGGGGAAUUUUGGACAAUGGACGCAAGUCUGAUCCAGCCAUUCCGCGUGCAGGAUGAAGGCCCUCGGGUUGUAAACUGCUUUUGUACGGAACGAAAAGGUCUCUCUUAAUACGGGGGACUCAUGACGGUACCGUGAGGAUAAGCACCGGCUAACUACGUACCAGCCGCCGCGGUAAGAC